UGGCAAAGCAAAGAAAAGUUUUCACAAGACUGAAGAUUAAAACAUGAGAACUAUCUUCCCAAGGGUUAAACCAAAGCAGCAAGGGGUAGUUUUGGCAAAGAAACAUAAUAAUGAAUACUAAAACAUCAGAACUAUCUCCCCAAGGGUUAAACCAAAGCAACGAGUAGUUCUCGUGUUGUAUUCUUCAGUCUUAUGGAAACCUCAUUUGCCUUGUUGCUUUGCUCCAGUAUGAUUCUCUGGUUUAUACGCUACUUAUGUUAUUAUUAUCGUCCUGCUGAUCAUUUCAUUCGUAGUCUGAGAUAUAGUAGGAAACAUUUCAUUGAUAUGUAUAUAUGGAUGCGCUGCAAGUAAAUAACUGCAUUUAAAGCUCGGAAAAAUAUCAGAACGCGAAUAAUUGGUAGGACAUUAAUGUUGGCGAUGUCGUAUAUCUAGAUGUAAAUAAAUGACAAUUAAUUUGGAUAUAUGUGAAUUGAUUUCAUUUCUAACAUAUUGCUUCAGCGGGGCUAUAAAUAGCGCCAUAUCAGUUGGAAAAAGAACACAUCUAAAUAUUUGCAUAUUUGUUUCUCGUCCAAAGGACACGGGUUCUCAAGUCCUGGAAACAACCACUUACAGAAAUAUAGGGAAAGCCUGCUUAAGCAGGAGCAUGUAAACAAUCUCUUCGGUCGGGUAGGUUCUGUGCAUGAUCGGUGCAAAGAGUAACACUAUAACAAUACUUUUGAGUUUGUGAAGCUAAUGAGUUCUUAAUAGUACUUUUAUAGCGUGUGAGAAACAAAGCAAUCAAGACGGAAAUAUGAGACGAUCGGGAGGCCCACCAAGCAUUGGAGGCACCGAGAAGAACGCGGCUUGACUAGGAAAUAUGUUCAACUACCUCCUUACCAAUGCUCUGGCUACUGCAGGAGCACGGACAAAUAGUCGAUUCACUUCGAGGGCAUCUUACGCCCAUCUUGGUCCUUUCAUAGAUGCGCAUCACGCUUUGCUCUUCUGGCCAUGGGUGUGUCCCAUGCAUAGUUUCUAGCUUGACGACCCCUCGCCAGCCAUGCCUUGCCAAUGCAGAGAAACAACGAAGUUACUUGUGAUCUACUUUGGUGGAAUGGUGUUUGGCCGUCUUCGGCUAUGCUGCCUCAGAGUGAUUGUCGUUUCUUCUUCCACUCACCACAACCACACUCUGCCUUGAGCGAUGACAUCAACUAUGGACCGUCGGCGCAAAAUCAUCCCAACUACUACCUCGACUCUAUUUUGGCGAAUCGUCCUUUUGUGCCACGCCAACCUUUAUGCACUCACACAAGCCGCUCAAUUUCGUAGUUUAUGGCACGACCACGACAGGAGGUGCCCAUACAAUUCCAUGUGGAGCGUGGGGUCCUGAUCCCGGUGGCUUCCAAUUCUCUCAACGCUUCGUCUGUGCUAGGAGUGUCGGGAUCAAGCCGAGCACAGUCUUGGCGACGUCAACUCCGCUUGUCGUGGUGUGCUUACGCAAGAAACGUCCAACAAAUUUGUCCAACAGAGAGAGCUGGUUUGCCGCGACAAUGAGCUCGCCUUUCUCAUGGGCGCCUGAUACGUGUCUCGUGGAGAGCCGAUCCGCCAUGACGGCGAACUUGCAUUUCUCAUAGGCACAUGAUUUGUGUAGCUCACGGAGCUGACGGGCUUCAAAGUUGGCCGCUUGCAUAGGGGUGCGCUUCUUGUAGGCGCUAGACCUAUGCAGCCAAUAGAGUUGACGGGCUUCGACGGUGAUCGCCUUCAUGGCCGUGUGCUUCUUGCGGGCACCUGAUCUGUGCAACGUACGGUGUCGAUUGGCUUCAACACUGGUCUCCAUGGGCAUACACUUAUUGAAGGCCCCAAAUUUGUGUCGCUCAAACAACCUACGAGCCUCCUUACUAGCACAACACGGGGCGGCGACGACAAACGAGCCCAUGGUACGGCGCCUGAAUCAGAUUGUUAGAAUCGUGGAAAGUGUGGCCAGAGCCCGCGCAGACAUCCUCGCAGCUGCUUGUGGUCGUGGGGGAUGAGGAUCCCCUAGUUCCACUACUGAUACGUGGGCCUAGUUGCAACCUGGUCCACAUGUCAGUGACCCAACGGCAGGUGUCGUACGUCAGAGGAGCUCUCUCCGUCGUGGGGGUGCAAACCAGGAGCUGCCCGACUGAACCAAUUGAUGAUUACGAGCAAGAUGCAAGGACACAAAAAGCUUGGAUGCAGAGAGGUUAGAGGCGAGCUGCUGCUAGCGCAUGGUGGCAUGCUGCAUCUCCCAUCGGUGCUUGUGACAGGGGAACCACAUCCCUGGCCGAUUCAUCUAUACCUCAGCUGGUGCCUUUCCAAGCAAUGCCAAACCUAUAGGCUACAACAG